UAGGGAAUCUUCGGCAAUGGACGAAAGUCUGACCGAGCAACGCCGCGUGAGUGAAGAAGGUUUUCGGAUCGUAAAACUCUGUUGUUAGAGAAGAACAAGGACGUUAGUAACUGAACGUCCCCUGACGGUAUCUAACCAGAAAGCCACGGCUAACUACGUGCCAGCAGCCGCGGUAAUACGUAGGUGGCAAGCGUUGUCCGGAUUUAUUGGGCGUAAAGCGAGCGCAGGCGGUUUCUUAAGUCUGAUGUGAAAGCCCCCGGCUCAACCGGGGAGGGUCAUUGGAAACUGGGGGAGUUGAGUGCAGAAGAGGAGGGUGGAAUUCCAUGUGUAGCGGUGAAAUGCGUAGAUAUAUGGAGGAACACCAGUGGCGAAGGCGGCUCUCUGGUCUGUAACUGACGCUGAGGCUCGAAGGCGUGGGGAGCAAACAGG
rnacentral:rRNA from 1 species